GAAAUGCGAUAAGUAAUGUGAAUUGCUGAAUUCCGUGAAUCAUCGAAUCUUUGAACGCACAUUGCGCCCUCUGACAUUCCGGGGGGCAUGCCUGUCCGAGCGUCAUUACGCACCCUCAAGCCCGGCUUGUGUGAUGGGCCCCGGCGUCUCGUUCGCGAGACGGGCCCGAAAGGCAGCGGCGGCGUCGACCCGAUGAGCCCGAGCGUAUGGGGACUUCUGUCACACGUUCGCGGUGCGGACCGGCGCCUGCUUGACUUUUCUGAUUAUCCAGGUUGACCUCGGAUCAGGUAGGGAUACCCGCUGAACUUAAGC
rnacentral:misc_RNA from 1 species